CCCUUAGAUGUUCUGGGCCGCACGCGCGCUACAAUGAUGAAUUCAACGAGUUUAUAACCUUGGUUGAAAAGCCUGGGUAAUCUUUUGAACUUUCGUCGUGAUGGGGCUAGACCCUUGCAAUUAUUGGUCUCCAACGAGGAAUUCCUAGUAAACGCAAGUCAUCAGCUUGCAUUGAUUACGUCCCUGCCCUUUGUACACACCGCCCGUCGCACCUACCGAUUGAAUGGUCCGGUGAAAUCUUCGGACCGAGACUUUGAUUUGUUCACUCAAAACGCUGUCUCGGGAAGUUGAUUAAACCUUACCAUUUAGAGGAAGGUGAAGUCGUAACA
rnacentral:rRNA from 1 species